rnacentral:lncRNA from 1 species
AGUGCUUUGGUAGCUAGCGAGGGCUUUGAGACGGCCGAGAGUUUGAGCGCCAAGGCUCUCUCUCCCCAGGGGACUCUGCAACCUGACUAGGUGCUCCUUCCCUGAGGUGUGUGCUCGACAAAGGUUGCUGAAAAAGUUCACGUUGAAAUUUUUUUUGAUGAUAAUAUCGUGUUACUCAUUUCCUUUGUUUCUUAGCAUAGUAACAUUCCAGGGAGCUGCCCGGGGAAGCUUAACGCUCGAUGCGGGUGGUAGGAAUGUAUCAUGGUGGGAGAGUCAUGGCAGCAGGCAGCUGGAACAGGACACUAAGUAAGAACACCUUCAACUACAAGCAGAAGUCAAGGAGAACUGAAAGUGGGUCCCUGAAGUCAGCUCUGGAAAACUGAGAAGAGUGCUGCGUGCAGAAUGCUUCGCUGGAUGUUUUUUUCCUCUAUUCUCACAGACAACUGGAACCUUGAGAGCCAAGGGAGAUUGUGGAGAGGAUGUGAGCAGAUGGCCGCUGAGGAUAGCUGACCGGGUGGGUGGGCUGGAACCUAGGCCAGGACCUGCCACCUGAGGAUUGUGCCUGCGAUGUCCAUAUGAUUGUGAACAGCUAAACAGGGAGCUCUGCUCUGUUGAAAAUCAUAAAGUUGAAAAUGAAAAGAGAUAAAACCUUAAGCACAGAAGAAUAUUUUGUCUUUGGUGAAAAGAACAACUUAAGAUUAAUUUUAUUUUUAUGCUGUAUAUGCGUGUGGGUAUGUGCAUGCAAAUUUGGGUGACUCCAAAGGUCAGAGCAUCAAAUCACUUGGAGCUGGGAUUAUAGGCAAAUGAAAGCUGCCAAGCAUAGGAAUCUAACGAAUGUCCUCUGUAUGAGCAGAGAGUACUCCUUACUGCAGAGCCAUGUUUCCAGCUUAAGGAGGGCUUUUAGAAAGAAGAUUGAUAGAGAAUACAUACUUAAUAGUUUGAUGUACUAAAAAGGUUAAUUUUUAUUCACUAUAGACACUAGAAAUAAUAUUUACAAUUUAUAUAAUGCAUGUGAUUAUAGAACUAGAAGUAACAAUAUUAAAUAUAAAUAAAUUAUUGUAAGUCAGAUAAGAGAGAUGGAAACCCCAGUAGGAAAAACCCAUUAAAGUAACUAAAAUGUGGACAAA